UACGGAGGGUGCGAGCGUUAAUCGGAAUUACUGGGCGUAAAGCGCACGCAGGCGGUUUGUUAAGCUAGAUGUGAAAGCCCCGGGCUCAACCUGGGAUGGUCAUUUAGAACUGGCAGACUAGAGUCUUGGAGAGGGGAGUGGAAUUCCAGGUGUAGCGGUGAAAUGCGUAGAUAUCUGGAGGAACAUCAGUGGCGAAGGCGACUCCCUGGCCAAAGACUGACGCCCAUGUGCGAAAGUGUGGGUAGCGAACAGC
rnacentral:rRNA from 1 species